GGGCUGCUGAAAAUCUGAUCAUAAGAGUCUUAUAGAAGGCUCCUUUAAAUAGAUAAAAGAUUUGAAUCCUAUUCAAAACUAAAUAGCCCCUUAAUACAAGUCCUACUUGCAUUAUUAAUCUUUGUAGCCUUAGAUAUUUGACUCCCUUUAGGAGAUCCAUUAGACACUAACUAUUGAAGCCUUUUCAUCCACUUUUUUACAUGCCACAUGGGGCUUAGGGGACACCCCAUGCUGGUCCUACAC
rnacentral:lncRNA from 1 species